rnacentral:misc_RNA from 1 species
GUAUUAGAUUUCAGCUUUUAAAAGCUUACUAUAAAUCAUUCUAACAUGUUAUUGGUGUUUGAUAAAAACAUAGGCAAAUAAGAUUGCAUAGAUUACUCUGUGAACCUCUGUUCGCCUACUGGAGUGUGCACAUUGGGGUAAGAGAAGGAGAUUUUGCAGAGUGCACAUGCAAACCUAUGAAGGAGUGCCAGCACAUCUUUAAAUCAAUAAUGAUCCUUCCGCAGGUUCACCUACGGAAA